rnacentral:lncRNA from 1 species
CCCAUAAAACAGGGGGUCGAUUCCACUGUGCCCAAGAGGAUGGCAAAGCCGUAGAUGCCCUUGCCUCUCGCGAACAGUGGGAGAGCAAGCUGAAUGACGGGCAGGCAAGUAUAGUUCUAACAUGGCUGUGCUUUGAGAGCUGUGAGGAGUUUCUCACUUUCAGCCUGUAAUUUGGUCUUUGCCCUGCAGGAGCGAACAGUACUGCUGUUUGAGGGAGACGAUUUGAGAAGGCUGGGGGAGGAAAUGAACAAACUGGUACAGUUCCAGAGAGAAGCCGGGGGUUUCAGAGACGUUCUUUUGGAAAAGAAGGAUCAUGAAUAAACUUGAGAGGGAGUGAAGAAAUGAAUGGGUCUUAGUGCACUGUACUGCACAGAGCUGCACCUCUGGCAUCUACAUAAUCUUUAAUCGAUGGUCUGAAAAUAAUGUAGUGGUACUGGUAAAUUAAUGCUGCAAUCAAAUUAUGAGGGGAUGUUUUUUGACCAUAACAUUUUAAAUAUGAAGGAAAUGAUGUUCUGUAAAUGUAAUUAUCAUGUUAAUUGUUAAUGACAACUGUGACUAAAGCUGUAGGUUGUGUGUUAUAACUGUGUCACUACACAGUUAUUUAUAAAUGUCAGUACAUUUUUGCUUUUUUUUUUUUUUUUUUUACAUUUAACGGUAUUGAAUAAAAUAUUUUCUCGGUGAAUACGAAAUGCA